rnacentral:rRNA from 1 species
GACGAACGCUGGCGGCGUGCUUAACACAUGCAAGUCGAACGGAAAGGCCCUGCUUUUGUGGGGUGCUCGAGUGGCGAACGGGUGAGUAACACGUGAGUAACCUGCCCUUGACUUUGGGAUAACUUCAGGAAACUGGGGCUAAUACCGGAUAGGAGCUCCUGCUGCAUGGUGGGGGUUGGAAAGUUUCGGCGGUUGGGGAUGGACUCGCGGCUUGUCAGCUUGUUGGUGGGGUAGUGGCUUACCAAGGCUUUGACGGGUAGCCGGCCUGAGAGGGUGACCGGGCACAUUGGGCCUGGGGUACGGCACAGAAUCCUACGGGAGGCAGCAGCGGGGAAUAGUGCAAAAUGGGCGGAAGCCUGAUGCAGCAACGCCGCGUGGGGGAUGACGGCCUUCGGGUUGUAAACCGCUUUCGCCUGUGACGAAGCGUGAGUGACGGUAAUGGGUAAAGAAGCCCCGGCUAACUACGUG